AUGAAUAUAACAAUAUGCUGGUCGGUGCAAAGUUUUCACACGUUCUCCUCUGAAGCUAAUCACCGACGGGAAAAAUUUUGGUCUGUUCAGUGUAGGAUGUGCAGGUUUACUCCUGAAUGAAAGUUUGUGUGGAAGCUGCUGGCUGGAUCAACGGAGGCUGUGCCCCGAAGAGACAUGGAAGCUGUGGUUGGACUGUUAGUGAUGAUACUGGGAGUCUGUCAUGGUGUGGAAACCUUCUGUGAUGGCAGAUUGAAUGGAGCUCAGUGUUAUGGACCUUUGGGAGGAACUUUGGUCCUCCAAACUGAUGGAUAGCACCUCAGAAAUAUUUAGAUACCAGUGGACAAAAAACAAAUACGAAUGCUCCUUGUGAAAAACAGAAUCAGAUUUUGUUGAAAUGCGUUCAGAAACAGAUCAUCAUUUACUCCCAGCAAUGGAACAUUUCAGAUCAAUGACCUGAGCAGGAAUGAUGAAGGUGAAUAUAAACUUGAAAUCUUUGAUUCAAGGGGACAUAUAUCAGAGCUGCGGACUCUACAACUGACCAUUCAAGCUCCUGUGUCCUCUGUCCAGCUGGUCUCUGAGUGUCUGUCCCAGGGAGAGAUGAGGGUGUUCUGCUCCUCUGAGGGAGGGGACAGUCCUCAGUACAGCUGGACUCUGGAUGGACGCACACUGACAGAUGCUGAGCUCCUCUCUGGAAACACUGAGACAAACAGCAUCACUCUGAAGCAACACGUCUCAGGACAUCUGCUCUGUACAGUCAGCAUCA